CCUACGGGAGGCAGCAGUGAGGAAUAUUGGACAAUGGGCGCAAGCCUGAUCCAGCCAUGCCGCGUGCAGGAUGACGGUCCUAUGGAUUGUAAACUGCUUUUGCACAGGAAGAAACAACAUUACGUGUAAUGUCUUGACGGUACUGUGAGAAUAAGGAUCGGCUAACUCCGUGCCAGCAGCCGCGGUAAUACGGAGGAUCCAAGCGUUAUCCGGAAUCAUUGGGUUUAAAGGGUCCGUAGGCGGUUUAGUAAGUCAGUGGUGAAAGCCCAUCGCUCAACGGUGGAACGGCCAUUGAUACUGCUAGACUUGAAUUAUUAGGAAGUAACUAGAGUAUGUAGUGUAGCGGUGAAAUGCUUAGAGAUUACAUGGAAUACCAAUUGCGAAGGCAGGUUACUACUAAUUGAUUGACGCUGAUGGACGAAAGCGUGGGUAGCGAACAGGAUUAGAUACCCUGGUAGUCCACGCCGUAAACGAUGGAUACUAGCUGUUGGGAGCGGAUCUCAGUGGCUAAGCGAAAGUGAUAAGUAUCCCACCUGGGGAGUACGUUCGCAAGAAUGAAACUCAAAUGAAUUGACCGGNUUGAGAGNGCGAGGACGACGACGAGGGAGGAGG
rnacentral:rRNA from 1 species